UACCUCAAAAUUACGCAACAGUCUGUUUCAUCAGUAAAAAUACCGCCUGAUGAUUCUUUACUGAUGAAACAGACUGUUGCGGAAUUU